rnacentral:rRNA from 1 species
GAUGAACGCUGGCGGUGUGCCUAAUACAUGCAAGUCGAGCGAACAGACGAGGAGCUUACUCCUCUGACGUUAGCGGCGGACGGGUGAGUAACACGUGGGUAACCUACCUAUAAGACUGGGAUAACUUCGGGAAACCGGAGCUAAUACCGGAUAACAUGUUGAACCGCAUGGUUCAACAGUGAAAGACGGUCUUGCUGUCACUUAUAGAUGGAUCCGCGUCGCAUUAGCUAGUUGGUAAGGUAACGGCUUACCAAGGCAACGAUGCGUAGCCGACCUGAGAGGGUGAUCGGCCACACUGGAACUGAGACACGGUCCAGACUCCUACGGGAGGCAGCAGUAGGGAAUCUUCCGCAAUGGGCGAAAGCCUGACGGAGCAACGCCGCGUGAGUGAAGAAGGUCUUCGGAUCGUAAAACUCUGUUAUUAGGGAAGAACAAAUGUGUAAGUAACUAUGCACGUCUUGACGGUACCUAAUCAGAAAGCCACGGCUAACUACGUG